UACGUAGGGGGCAAGCGUUGUCCGGAAUCAUUGGGCGUAAAGCGCGUGUAGGCGGUUCAGUAAGUCUGCUGUGAAAGUCCAGGGCUCAACCCUGGGAUGCCGGUGGAUACUGCUGGACUAGAGUGCGGAAGAGGCGAGUGGAAUUCCCGGUGUAGCGGUGAAAUGCGCAGAUAUCGGGAGGAACACCAGUGGCGAAGGCGGAGACCUGGGCCGAUACUGACGCUGAGGUGCGAAAGCGUGGGGAGCAAACAGG
rnacentral:rRNA from 1 species